rnacentral:other from 1 species
AGUGUCCUGGGGUGCUCGUCAGCUGCAUUGUUUUUGAACCUACAGACUAUGAAAGGGAGUCCUAGAUCUGUAUGGUGAUGCCAGGCCGUUACGGACGGAAGGCAGAUCUCUACAUGCGGAAACCCACCUGGCUUUGGCUAGGGAGUCAGAAAAUGCGGCAACGGCACACCCGGGACAAAA